UACGGAGGGGGCAAACGUUGCUCGGAAUCAUUGGGCGUAAAGCGCACGUAGGCGGCGCGUUAAGUCGGAUGUGAAAGCCCCGGGCUCAACCCGGGAAGUGCAUACGAAACUGGCGCGCUUGAAUAUGGAAGAGGGUCGCGGAAUUCCCGGUGUAGAGGUGAAAUUCGUAGAUAUCGGGAGGAACACCAGUGGCGAAGGCGGCGACCUGGGCCAAUAUUGACGCUGAGGUGCGAAAGCGUGGGGAGCAAACAGG
rnacentral:rRNA from 1 species